GUGUCUAUACCAACACUUCAAUUUGUAUUAAUGGAAACAACAUGAGCUUGCACUUCUUUUACUCGAGCAAAUACUUGUGAUCACGUGUACCUCCUACGAAACUCACUUGUACCCACAAAGAACAGUUAGGGGGGCGAUGUAUGUUUUUUCGGCAUGAAUUCUUCGAUGCUCAAGUAAGGAAUCAAGUCUUUUUCGGAAAAAAAAAAAAAAAAAAACUUGUGCCAUGACUCACGUGGCUUAAUUCUAAUAAUUUCUUUUUUCUUUAAACAACAAAACUUUUUGGUGGAAACUAAAGAAAAUUGGGGAAAUAUUAGACAGAAAAAUGAUAGAGAAAAGGAAAAUUGGUGGUGGAGAGAGAAACAUAUUCACCUAGUUUGAAGUUUCAGGGGUUUUACAGAGCUCCGAAACCCACGACCUUGGAUUAAGGAAAUAGUUGUUAAUGGAUCGGGAUCGUGCCCUAAUUUUUCAGAGGAGAUUUGCAAGUUAACUCUUGAUCGAGUCUCCGAGUUGACUUGGUUCGAGCCUCUUAUCGCAUGAUUCUUACACUGUCACAUUUACCAAGCAACCUGCCCACUUCUUGAUACCUCAAGCAAACUGUUUGGGAGAUCUAUUAGAUCCACAUCCCGAGGAAGCUCUCAGCUGUUUCUAAUGCUGAGGAGAGCAUGGAUUGCCUGAAAUGGUCUCCAAUCAUGCUCCCUCUUUUAUCCCUCUAACACAAUUAAAGCAAUAUUAAAUAUCAAUGCUUUUUUUUUUUUGAGAAGUAUUAAAUAUCAAUGCUUUUUUUUUUUUUUUUGAGAAGUAUUAAAUAUCAAUGCUUAAGUUGCGUAAACUCAAUCAAACUCACCAACGAGAAUUACUUUUUAUAUAUAUGGAGCUCUCAAAUUCUCCCUUCGGUGCAUAGACGUAUAUAACCUUGGCCUAAAACACCACAUAUAUAAUAGAUGCUAAGUCAAGCACCAAAAAGGUGAAAAGUUUUUUUUUUUUAUUUCAGUUCAAUUUUUGCCCACCGCUAAUGGUCAUUAAUUAAUUCUUUGAAUUGAUCUUCAAAUUAAAAUCAUGCAUCCUUUUGAGCCGUGAUAUGAGAAGCCUAUCGCUGGCCUUCUUAAAGAUGAAAUCCAGAUUAGUAUUUUACAUUACCUCGGUUUUUUUUUUUUUUUAUUUCGGUUCAAUUUUUUUGAAGCUAAGAAACCAAAUACAUAAAUACCAAAUCGAACCAUUAGUUCGAUUUGGUUUUCCGAUCAAAAGUUACAAAAUCCACACCAAAUUAAUAAUAUCAUUUAGAUCUCUAUCCUUUAUAAAAUUUUUGUAUGGCUCAAUGUUUAGGAAAUGUUUGCAUAUAGAAUUUAUGUUGUGGCCUAAUAUUUUUAGCAUAUAGUAAUUUUUAUUUCUAUGAUGGUCUGAAGUAACAAUAUCCAAAGAAAACAAAAAAAUAUCUAUGUAAAUGAUUAUAAUCCCCAAGUUAUAUGUAAUAUUUUAUUCUUUUUUGACAUUCCAUCACUAGAGAGAGUGCAGAGAGAAGUUUAAAGGAUUCUAUCUAAGAUAAACGACUUUAGAAAACAAUUAAAUAUUAUGAAUUCAUGUCUGUUUCUACAUAUGAAAUUAUUGAUUCUUAGUGAUACAACAUUAAUAAUACUCUUGGAAUUUGAGAUGAUGGUUUUCACCAAAGAUUAAUUAUUUUCUAACAAAAGUAUGCACACAGCUAGUUGUUGACAAAAUAACAGGAACCAUUGCUAAAAGAUAAUUUGUAUCCAUCCAUUGAAGAAGGAUACUACAAAAUUGGAAAACCUUCUCUAAAAGUUGAUUAACGAGAACCUAUCUGCCAUUGGAAAACCAGCAAGCGAUGAAGACAAGAUAAUCAUAUUGCCUCUCAAUUGUGCCUAUUUUAAAACUGUCGUGCUCUCCAAGCAUGAACAAAUUGUCAUUGCACAAAAAGAAAAUGGAUGGGGGUUGCAUCAAGAAACUUUAGAAGUGAGCUGGCAAAAGAAUUCAUACUACCAUAUAAGGACGAUAUAAAGUCACUAAAGUUGCCUCCUAUUGAAUAUCCGAGCAUUAAAAAAGAACAUUGGAAACUUUUUGUUGAUAAAGUUUUGUCUCAAGAUUUUCAGGUGUGUUGUUUGUUAAUAUUACUUGAUUUAUUUGUUGUUAGUUACUAAUAAUUAGUAGUAACCCUUUUGUUCUUUAUUAUAUUAUUUGUGCAGGAAAAAAAUACUAAAACAAAAGAAACAAGAGCAAAAAUAUCUACAACCAUCGCUUGGGUAGCAUAGGAUAUGGUGGCAUGUUGUAUAGAAAAGUAUGUACAAUAUAAUAUAGUUGUGCGAUAAAACCUAACCAAUGCAUAUAAUAUAAUAGAAUCAAUACUUUUUGUUUUCUAUCAACCUAUAACAAAAAAAAGAUAAUGGAGUUUCUGAGCGAGAGAUUGACCACAGUGAAACUUGGUUAAUGGCAUGAGUAGAUCGAGAUGACAAAUAUGCUUCUAAAGUGAUGCCAAUGGCUGAGAAAAUAGUAAGUCACUUGUAUAUUUAAUUCUUAUAUAUUCCAUUUUUUAUGGUAUAAUUAAGUUUACUUGUCUCAUGAAUUUUGAGGUUCUGAUAAUCCGUUAUUGGUGAUUCUUUAAUUGCUUAAUUCGUGAUUCUUUAAUUGCUUAAUUCAACUUGUAGAUUUAUAAUUUUUUUUUUUUUGUAGAAUGAGCUGAAGAGUCAAGUUGAACAAGGAAAGUUCCAAUCACAUUGGUCAAAUGACAUUUUAGGCUACGCCCUUCAAAAGCAGCCAAAUGGAAGUAGGGUGCAAGGAGUAGGACAAUUCAUCACCCCAUCCAUGUACUUUCAUGUUCCUAAUGCUAUAGAGUUAGCAAGAGAAAGAAAGAUGUAUCAAGAGAGUUUUCAAUUUAUGUAUGCUAAAUUGGAACACAUGAAUGCAAGGUUGAAUGCCUACAUUAAUACUGAAGUUGGUAGUUCUAACUAUCCUAAACCUAAACCUUCCACCGGUGUUCAAUUUGAGAUUGAUCAACAAUCUCCUAAAGCUCUUGGAAAAGAAAGGUUAGUAGAGGGAAUAUUACAUGUCAUUAUUUUAUUUUCAUUUAUUUCUAUUUGUAUAUGCAUGUAUUACUACUAAUUGUACGCAUGUAUAUUUUAAUUAUUUCAUAGGUCAGUUUCCUAUUGGGUGAAUUAACUCAAAAAUCUGUGAAGAGUAAAAUGAAUUCAAAGAACACUCCUAUUAAAAUUUUCCAACCAACUCCUCAACAAACUCCAAAGAAACUAGACUUUGAAGUUACUCAAAGCCUUCGCCAAGAAAAUCUCACAGAUUAACUCAUAAAGUAGAUGUGCAAUUCCUCUAUGAUGAGAGAGUAUCAAAAAAUGAACCACUGGUCAUCAAACAAACAACAACAAAAACUUAAGUAGGGUGCAAAGAAUACAGGAGCAGCUGCACAAUUAAAAAAGAAUGACAUGAGUGAACAUAUGAACAUGUUUAAUAUGUUUAUUGAGAAUUCCUUGCCUCGGUCGAUCGUGAUUGGGUAUGAUAUAGCAACGUUUAGUGAAAUUUGGGAAAUACACCUGGAUAAAAUGAUUUGUGAUGAAAUCAUCGAAUUCAAGGAGGUCUCAAAUUGCACUAUUAACUUAUCGAUCAAGUAAGAUAAGUGUAGAUUAUGUUUUAUUAAACUUGAAGUUAUUAUUUUGUUUUUCUUUAUUCAAAUUUACUUUAUAUAUGUUCAUUUUCCCCUAGAUAUUUGUAUUAGGAGAUGAAGAAUAGUGGAAGUGCCAAGUCAGUUCAGUUUAGGCUUUUUGAGAAGUUACAAAUAGCUUCAAAGAGAGGUCUCAAUACAUUUCGAAACUUUUGGGCUUGGCAGAGUUGGGACAGGUCAUUGUAUUCCCAUAUAACUCUGGAUAUAACCUUUUUCAUUUGCUAACCAUAUUCUUUAUAUAGUAAAUUAAUUGUAUAAAAAAAUUUACUUGUAAUUCAUGUCUUUAAACAAUUUUUAUUUUGUUUAGCGGUCAUUGGGUGUUAUUCGUGUUAACAUAUAUGUUUCCAUAAUAUUGAUUUUGAUGAUAACAAACAAGAUUAAGAAUGAUUAAUCUUUUAAGAUCAAAUUAUUUUUUAUACAUUUUAAAUAAAUCAUUAUUUUCACAUUUUAAAGGUUUUAUAUUUAAUGGAAAAAUGAUUUUAUGAAAUUGAUUGUUUUUAUUCUUUUUAAAUAAAUCAUUAUUUUCACAUUAUAAAUGUUUCAUAUUUAAUGGAAAAAUGAUUUUAUGAAAUUGGUUGUUUUUCAAAGUUUAUGGUUUAAUUGAAAGAAUUUUGAAAACUUUGAAAUAAACAAGUAUUGCUUGAAAUUUUGGAGAAUGACUUAUUUGAAAAUUGUCAUAGCGUUUUGGGAUUUGGGAUUAACAAAGCAUUACAUAGAAAUUCUAAAAUCGGACCUAUUUGCAAAGUUUCAUAACAUUUUGGACCGUAAUACAGUUUUAUAAAGUUUUGGGGUCAAACUAUAAAUUUGGAAAAUAUUUCACUGUAGCAGUUACUGUAGAAAACGGCGAUCCGACAUCUUGAUAACGGCUCGCCGACAUCUAACAGAAUUGAAAAUUAGUCUCUGGACCUAAACGGCGAUCCGACAAUACGCCGAUAUUUAACAGAACUGAAGAUUAGCCUCUGGACCUAAACGGCGAUCCGACAUCUAGAUAACGGAGAUCCGACAAUUUAAAAAUCAGCCCCAACGGUCAUAUUGACCAGUCAAACGGCGAUCCGACAUCUAGUUAGCGGUGAUCCGACAGUGUGCAGAAAGUCAAUAACGGCUAGUUUUCAGCUCCAACUAUAAAUAAACUCAAUCCAAUUCAAAUAAGAAUCAAAUUCCAACGAUCAUCAUUGAGCAAAAUAUUGAGAAUACAACUUUCAUUGAGCUUUAAAUCUUUGUAUUAAUCUCAUUCAUUCACACAUUGAGCUUUCACUUGUGAUCAAACACAUUGUGUGAGAGAGAUUCAUUUGUAAUCCUUUUUGUAAAAUCAAGUUAAAAGAUUGUAAGUGUUGGGAUACACUUGGGUUAAGAGAUUGGGGAUAAUCUCUUGUUGUAAAGGUCCAUUGACACCUUGGAAGUCAAUUGUAAGCGUUUGAAGCCUUGGGAGGCUAGCUUAGUGAAAUCCUCAAGCCCGGUGAGCUUGGAGGCCUGGACGUAGGCGGGGAUUACCGAACCACGUAAAGGCGGGGAUUGCCGAACCACGUAAAAAUCAUUGUGUUUGUUUUCUCUUUCCUUACUCUUUUAAUAUUGUGCAUGAUUGAAUUUAUUGUUUUCAAUUUGAUUAAGGCAAUAGAUUAAAUUGUUGUGUGGUUUGCUUAGCUUAAAUUUUAAAAUCCCAAUUCACCCCCCCUCUUGGGUUGCCUAGUUAGUAUUUUAAUUCGCAAUUGAUAUGGUGAGAUGCACAGUUUAUUAUCUUGAUCCAUUGGCAAAUAAUCUUAAUGAAGAGAUGAUGCAGAUUGUGAAUCAGUUAAGAGAUGAUGCAGAUUGUGAAUCAGUUAAGUUUCUUAUUAGUAUCUUUGAUCAUGUUCUUUUAUUUUUCUUUUUUAUGUUAAUUAUUUGCUAACAUUUGUUAUGUCUUCCUUGUAGUAGGAUUAGAAUAUAUCAAUCUUUAAAGUGUAAUAGAAAGGCCAAUGUUCAGUGCUUAUUUAAAAAUAACACUGAAAGUUGUGGAAUUUUUAAAAAUAAUCAUUGCUAAAUAAUCAUUGCUUAUUUAAAAAAAAAAAUUUAUGUAAUUUUUAUUUUGUAGUGUCCAAGGCAAUCUAGCAGCUUUGAAUGUGGGUACUACGUGAUGAAAUACAUUCAAGAUAUCAUUACAAAUGUGAACAUUUUUAAAAAUAAUGUAAAUAUCGAAAACAAGUUUUAGAAUACGGCAUCAUAUUGUUUUAAUGUAUUAUGAAAUGAAUAACUUCAAAAGAACCUUGAACCUUAGACCUAAUGUGUGUUUCUUGAUUGUUACAUUUUAACAAGUUUUAGAAUAUUACAUCAUAUUGUUUUAAUGCAUUGUGAAAUGAAUCACUUCAAAAGAACCUUGAACCUUAUACCUAAUUUGUGUUUCUUGAUUGUUACAUUUUUAUCAUAUAUUGUAUGUAUUAUAUAUAUAUUUUAUAUAUAUUGUAAUUAAAGGUACUUAUAAUAAUGGGUAUACGGCAUAUUGUUGGAGAUAUUAUGUGAAUAGGCAUAGUUUACAAUUUGCUUUUUGGUGAAUAACUUGUUGUUUUGAAAUUAAAGUUCAAAGGAAUUGAUGAGUACACCAUGAAAGAGCUCUCGCGACUUCGUGAUCAAUGGGCUACAUAUGUUGCCAAGUUAAUUACAACCUACAAUUAUGAGGUAGUAUAUGAAUAGUUUAUGAUUAUUAAUUUUGCUUCCAGAUAUCCAAGACUUAUUUUUUAUGGUGUACUAAUUGAUUUUAUGUACUUGUAGGUGGGAAACAAUUAAAGCCAUGUAUGAAUAUUCAAUGAAAUCCUUGUGCUUAUUCUUGUUGGUUAAUGUUUGUUGAAACUUAAUUUAGUACUUUGUUGUUUAGAACUUGUCAAAAACUUAAUUUCGUAUUUAUAUUUUUUUCUCCCCAAAUAAUGGUGUAGUUAAAUUAUGUUAAUUUAAGUGAUGCAUUUGGGAUAUUUAUUAUGUGAAUUGUGUUGCGAGAUUUGACAUAUUUAAUAUAUUUUGAGUUUUUAUUUAAUAGUAAAGCAAAUAGGAAAAAUAUAAUUGAAAUGAAAAUAUACUAUUAAUCAAAAGCAACAUAACAUCACUAAAUACUGACACUAAAUAUUUAAAAUGAUAUAAAUCACUAACAUAUAAAUAGUAUCAUUAAAUACUAACACUAUUAUGUCAUUAUUUUGGUGAUACCAUAGUGACACAAAUUAUUGACAUAAAAAUAGUAUCAUCAAACUAACACUAUAGUAUCAUUAUUUUGGUAAUAAUACAAUGACUCGAAUUACUAACACAAAAAUAGUGUCAUCAAAUAUUAACACCAUAAUGUCACUACUCACUAUUUUGGUGAUACUAUAGUGACACAAAUUACUGACAGAAAAAUCACUGAUACUAAAAAUUAGUGUCAGUGUGUUUUGACUUGAGCAUUACUGAUACUGACAUUAAAUUGGUAUCUGUAAAACCUAUUUUUCUAGUAGUGAACAUUUAUUUCAAAAUAUUCUAAUAAAAUUUUUGCCUUAAGCGAAUUUGUCUUCAAAUUGAGGACAACAGAUCAUCCUUGUAUAAAUUUGAAGGACAUGUCAUUUGGUUUUGUAAUUAAUUUGUAAAUGAUCACAGGUACUGACCAUCAUAUAAAGGAGUCUUUGCAUUCAAUUAACGAGAAAUAUUAUAUGAUCUAAAUCAAGAUGGAUAAGAUGCUUAUUGUACCAGCAAAACUAAUGCUGUAAUACUUCAUACCAGUGAUCAAGGUGCAGUCAAGAAAGCAACCAUUAGAAUUUGUCAAGCAUGUAUGGCUGUAUGCAUAUGUAGAUCGACCACAAUUGAAGCAAAUCCAGCAACCAUUAGAAUUUCUCAAGCAUGUUUGACUGUAUGCAUACGUAGUCCACAAUUGAAGCAAAUCUUUACCAAUCAAAACCUAGGUAAGAUAGAUGCGACAACUAGUCAACUUUCACAAUUUUUGGACAUGCAAAGUAUUUCCUUAAAUCAUGAAAAUUUCGUCAUUUUCCAUGUUGCCCCUUAAAUUUAUUGGAAUAUAUUUCUUUAAACGAAGUGUUGUUGAAACACAUAUAUAGCUUUGAAUAACAUGAAUCAGAAACUUAAUAAUGGCAUCUCAACAUGAAGGUACAAGGAUGAAGUUCGAGACGCAUAUUAAGAAUAUGUGAUACUUAAUUAUAUACUAUUAUGAAUACCUCCCAAGGGAAUGUUGAAAAGUAAAAGAAUGGCUUGCAAAUUUUAAAAGACAAAGUUGGUGGGCUUGCCAAUUUCAAAAGGCAAGGUUGGUGGCACGAUUUUGUUGAAGUUGCAUGGAGGAAAAAUGUGAUGGUUUUCUAGAAGCCAAUUGAUUUUUUCAAAAUUGUCGAUUUUGUUGCCCACCAAAUUGAUUUUCAUUCUAAAUUCAAUUUGUCAAUUUGGCAAGUUGUAGCCAAAUUGAAAGUGGUAGGUGAGCUACGGUUCCUAUAAAUAGAAGGGUCAUUGUUCAUUUGUAAUGCAUCCCAAAAUUGUUAAGCUUAUAAGUUUCUAAGCGUUUGAGAGAAGUGAGAGAAGUGUGUCUGGAGAAUUUAUCUUUCCUACAGAGUGUGAGAGUACUUGGUAUAUUUGGGUUUCUAGGAAGUGAGAUUCGUUACUCAAAUAUUUGUACUCUAUUAAUUGUUAAAUAAACAAGUAUUCUUUCUUGCCUCCGUUGAUGUAGGUUUAAUUACCGAACCACGUAAUUCUUGUGUCAUUUAUUUUUCUAUAAUUAUUUGGUGCGCUUGAUUUCGCAUUCCGCGCACAAUAGGAAAAACUAGCUACAUGUCGAAAAAAGAAAGAAAGAAAUAAGGGAAAAUUAAGUGAGAAGCUAGCAAUAAUCAAUGUCGUCACCGAAAAUAUAUAUUAAGAAAAGAAUUUUAGAAAAUUGAGUUUAUAUAAAUAAGUUCAAAACUACGUGUAUAGUGAAAGCCAGUUGGAUUGGCACAUGAUGAUGUUAUCAGUUAUCAAGUUCUAGGGCAUUGUAGAAUGGAGAAUAAUUAACAAAGCGGUGGUUCACGUGCAUCAAUGUUGCUAAAAGCGAUUUUCCAUAUGGACUUUUCCAUUUGAGGCAAAAUUGAAAAAAUAAAAAACAGGCACGCAAGCACUUCUGUUCAAUUUCAACAAAAGGGUUAAGGCUGAACAUAAUUAACAAUGUUAGUGAGAUAAUGAUGUUUCAUUACCAUAAGUAAUUUAUAUCUCAAUAGCUUAUGCUGAUGAAUGAGAUAGAAAAUUAAACUGCUUUUAAGGGAGCACUUUUUUCCAAUUUUAAUACAUAUCCAUCAAAGUUCUUGUACAUAUACAUGCAAGAAAUAGAGAAAUCUAGAAGAACCUAAUAUAGAGAUCGAUUAAUUAGUCAGAUAAUGAUGUUUCAUUCAAAACCAUCUUAUCCGGAAAGAGAGAGUGCAGAAGUACUUUUGAGGAAGUCCCUUGGCCUGGCUUAGGUCCCGUUUGAAAUUGAGGUGCUGUAGUUUUUAAGCUACAGCUGCUGCGGAAAAAAAACUGUAACUAUAAAAUAAAAGUUAAUAAUAUGUAGUAAAUAUAUAUUUUUAAUAAUAAUUUUGACAAAAUUAUUAAAGAUAUAAUAAAUUUUUCAUUAUACAAGUAAAAAAUCAUAUCGACAUAACUCACAAGCUACAACAAUUGGUAUUUACCAAACACUUUAGUACUUUAGCUUACAACUGCCCAAUCUCAAUUCAAAACGCAUACUUAGCUUGUAAAGUACAAUUGUCAAGCGUAGUAGUUAUCUCCAAAAGCCAAGCAUGAGGAGUAGAAAGCACCAUGUAGCCAAAAACGGCUUGCCAACUUCUCCAUUAUAUAUAUAAUUUAAUUCCCAUAAAUCUUCUCUGGAAAAUUAAUAAUACAAAUUAAUUGGAAGCUAUAUAUCUAUAUCUUUGAAGCGUCGGCAAGUCAUCCUUGGCUGCACAAUACUUUCUAAGCCAACAUGUUUGGCUGCUUGAGAGUUAGAUAUAUAUCUUGUUGAUUCAUACAAUAUAGCAGAAACGAUCUAUAUUUCAACUUCUUAUAUGAAUAAGAGGAUCGAAAAUUAAUGAAGCAAACAGAUUGCAAUAAGGCGAGGAAGAAAUGCUGAAAAGGAUGUAAGGCUAAUGAGCUAUUUAUAUAGACGAUAUGAGAUACUGAAGAGGCAAGAAGAGAUAGUGAAUUGAUUUUUUUUUUCGCAUAAAAAAUGAAAAUAAAAAAUUAUAUAUGUGUGUAUAUAUAUAUAUAUAUUUGCAUUAUCUUCUAUAUCAAGUGUCGAGGUGAGGGGGACAGCUUUGUAAGGAUAUUAUAACUUAGGUGCAGUAGAAUAAAGUGAUAAGGUUCCUUCUUCCAUUUCUCUCAUCUGGGGUAAUAUAAUCGAAAUUUUUUUAAUUAAAAUACCAUGCUAAUAAAUGUUUUAAUUUUCACUAUUAAUUAAUGCAUGCAUGUAGUAUGUAUAUGGGGUUUCUUUUAUAAAUUUUGGUUUCAUUAGCGGACUUGAACUAAUUAGACAAGUCCUAGUUCUGCAAAUCCAUAUUUCAUUUGUAAAAUGCAAACAUUCGGAUUGGAUAAUCAUUAAUUACAUAUAUAUUAUAUGUUCUCUUUAUGGAAUAAUCCAUGCAUAUUGAAUUAUUUACAAUCAUUCAAACUCAAAUUGAAGAUAUAAUAAGAGAUGUUCAUUUCAAAUGCAUAUUGUAUGAAAGAAUAAGACAGAGCAAAAUAAGGAGCAGUGCUGUUGCAGUGGAAAGUGUCAGCGGAAAUGCUCUGUCUAGGGAACUGAGGGACUAGUAGAUCAAGGCAAAUAUACAGUUUUUGGAGAAAAAUCAAAGGUCACUCCCUUUUGAUUCUCUGCUUAAUUUCCUCUUUAGCUAAGCUUCAUGUUCGUUAUCCUUGGCUGUCAAAAAAGUUCAAUACUGCUUCUGCCUCGAUCCCUUUAUGUUUCCAUUAAGUUCAAUGAGUGAAUAUUACAACACAUUUUCUCCUUGUUGAGCUUUUAAUUGAUCAUCAUUAAUGCCAAUAGGCCUUUGGCACAGCGGUGAAUUUCUACUUUCACAAUUAAGAAAGAUUGUGAGGAUAGAGAUUCGAGUGCUUAUAGAUUUAAAACUCUCUCAAUUAAAUAUUAUACAUGAUUGUAUAAAUUUUAUUUACAAGUCUUUCUCCCUUACGAAAUGUGAGUAGAGCAGAAACAUCAUUCCUUUGUGAGAGUUACUUGUCUGAGUAUGUACUUCAUAAAUUUAAUGUAAUAAUGUAAGUCUCAGUUAUGUAUAUUUAAUUGUAAAUAUUAAUAUAAUGUUUGUUGUAAUAACAAUUACAGAAACAUCUUUCCUAUGGGAAGUUUACUUGUCUGAGUAUGUAUUUCAUAGAUUUAAUGUAACAAUGUAAGUCUCACUUAUGUAUAUCUAAUUAUAAAUAUUAGUGUAAUAUCUAUUGUAAUAGUAAUUAUAAAUAUAUAUGUAAUACAUUAAUAUGAUGUAUAAUCAGUAUUAAAAAAAUUAAUCAUCAUUAAUAAAGGGCAAAAAGAACGAAAAAAUCUUGGAUACCCUCAAAACGGAAAGGGUGCAAUAUGUACCCAAUUGAUAUAGAAAAUAUUUUAAUGCUUGUGUGAUGAAAACUUGGACACCUGCACAUAUCUGCACCUCAUCCUGAAGUGGGGUCUCACCCAACGGUCUGAAAAUAGCGAAUGACACCCGUAUGGAGUAGCAGAAGAUCGUGCAGAUAGCCUGCGGCCAAAUGGAAGAUGAUGAAAUAUCCAGCCAACUACAGUUUUUUUAUUUAAAUUAAAAAAUGAAAAGUGAAGGUUCAUUUAUUAAACCAAAAAAAAAAAAGAGCCUUCUUUUUCAAUUUUUAUAUUAGUUAAAUUCUUGUCAUCUGUCUAUAUAUAAACUUAUCUAUAUAAGUUGAUUAGUUGAGAGGUACGUGUAUGUAUAUACAUAGUGAUGCAAAUAUCUACUGCAAUUAAGAAAGUGUAUAUACUUAAUUGCUUGUUUAAUUUAAAGGCACGCAUUUGAAUCUAACAGAUGGAGUAGGAUAGAAAUAACGUUGAUUUAGAGUUAAGAACCAAAAAUUUUAGUUGCUAAAAAGAGAUUCAACACCGUAAGAAUUGCUUUAGCCCAUCAUAUCUUUUAUAUUUAGGAGCCUCUAAGUUAUAAUAAUUGUAACAUACAUCUCUCAUGUGAACCAUAUAAAAUUAUAAGACCCAUAAUUUAUUAAUUCACAUAAAAAAUAUAUAUUAUAAUUAUUAUAACUUAACAUUGGCCUUUAUAUUUUAUCCAAUGACAAUGGAUUUGGGUUUAAAAAAAAAUCCAAAAUCCAAGAGAAAUAACUGCUUGAGCCUUGACUUAGGGGGUCAUGAAUAUCUGAACAAAAAGAUCAUUAUGCUUUCUGCCUAAAGUUUUUUCAAGGAGUCGUGUGAUGAAGUCGAUCGAUGUCUCUAUCCUUCCUCACCAUUCCCCACCUGGAGACUGACAUAAAUCCCUUGUUUUACUAAACAAUAUAAUUUUUCCUCCUUAUGUUUUAAAAUUUCAUUAAAAUUUCGGACGAGGAUUUUCAAUAAAUUACUUCUGACGAGAUUUAAUUACGAUGGGAUAACAUUUAAAAUCGACAACUGAUAAUUGGAUAACGAGAGUGGAUGCAUGCGAACGUCAUUCCAUUAAUGGGAUUCCAUGAGAAGGCUGAAAAUCCCGACAGCUCUGACGGGAAAUUUGGCUUCAAUUGACUUUGCCGUCUUUUGCGACUACUCGUAUAACUUUUAUGCACAUGUUUUACAAAAAAAUUAUACGCAAAAUGUUAAUCUUCUGGAAACUUGAUGGUCUGCUUCACUUUCCCUGUAAGGAUCAUUGAAUUUUUUAUGUUGACCUAAAUGCUCUCAUAAUAAAUAGUUAAGGAAUAACAAUUAAUCUUCAUCACAGCCCAUAAUUAUUGAACAAAUUAAUGAAUUGCUCGAGGAUCAAUCAAAAUACUCUUUAUGAUUAUUAUAACUCAUUAUACGCUCCCUUGUAUAAACUUUCAUCAAUUGUGUAGAUGGCACCUCAACAAAUGAUUAUUCAUUCAAUCUAAUUGUAUAGGUCUACAGUGAAAAAGAAAAGUAUCUAAGUUAUUAUUCACUUACUAUUGAAUUGAAUUCUCUAAUCGAUAAAUUUUUAAGUUAAUAUAUUAAGUUAAAAUUAUAAGUUAAGGUAACCUCAUUUAUUUUUAUAUAUGAAGGUGUUGUUCUGCUACCUAUCCAUAAUUUAUUAGAUAUUAUUAAAAUUUUGUUUGGAAGUACUUUACAGGGUAAGAUGUUGAAUACACAUAAGAUGAGAUCACGUGUUCAAAUGAAGAACGUGAUUAUUUAAGUAUAAUCUAUUACUUAAGAACGUGAUUACUAAAGCAUAAUCUAUUAUUUAGUCCAUAGAUUGGACAACUUAGGGAGACUACAUAAAGGGCAAAAAGUUGUCUUUACAACUUUAAUUACUUACUAUAAAUACUUCAAUUUAUUAUGGUCAUAAAUAAACUCAUGAUAGAGACAAUUAUGAAGAUAUCUUAUCUUUUUGAUAUUCUAUCUCUUCAUGAAAAAAUUAUGGUUAUGCCGAUUCAGUCGAGGUUGGCCAAAACCUCACCCGAUCCAAUACAAAACAGGCUUCAUAGAUUACCAUUUCAAAAUGUGUAGGCCUUUUGAUACCCCUAAAAAUUCCUCGUAACGCCCUUUUUUUCAUUGAAAUUACCUGAAUAACCUUACACAAAUUAAUUUAAUUCUUGGUUUGAAUGGAAUUUAAUUAAAUACUUGGAUAAAUUAUUCUUUUAACAAAAUUUUUACACCCACCCCAUUUCAUAAUUUAUAUCUAUGUUUUAAAUUUUAAUUGAAAAAUAAAAACUUAUAAUAUUUUAGAGUUACAAAAAUAUAAAUUAUUUAAUAAGAAAAAAUUAAGAUAAAGCUGAUAUUUUAAAAUUUGAAUUUAAUUUAAGAGAAUUUUUUUGGGGUAAAAUUUUAUGAGAAGAUGGUUAAUUUAAUAUAUUGACUUAUGUUUUAUUAAUUAAACCGAGGCUGUUUUUGGAAAUAAAUUUAAAAAAGGUGUUAUAAGCAUUUUAAUGGGGUGUUAAAAGUUCCAUUCCUUCAAAAUGUAGCGGGUACAUAUCGGCCCGGCCCAUUAAGCAGCAAGUAGAUUUUACACGUGUUUACUUUUAAAAGUUGCAUUGUACAGUACUGUUUUGCAAUACCGUAAUUUUAUUUUGUUCUCGUAAUUCUUUAGAUGAAGACUGUACCAUUUCUACUAAAUUUUGUUUUUGUAGAUUUCUUAUAAUAUUAUCAAUAAUAAAUUUUUGAGCUGAUCUCAACAAAUUUUUUAAUCUAAAUUAUCAGCAGGCUAGUAGAUUAUGACAAUUUUUUUUUUUAAUUUAGAAAAAAAGGAAAAAAAGAAAAAGAAAAAGAAAAAGAGAAUGCAGCAAAUGCCCAUCACUUUCAGUUGCUGUCUUGUCUUGUCCAAUUAUCUCACUUUAACUUUUGUCUCGUUUUCCUCCACUAAAGAGAAUAUGUACGUACAAACAAACCGAUCGCCAACACCAGCGUUGCGUUUGCUUUUGCAUAUGUUAUACUUUGUAUGUAUAUUAUUAUUAUUUUUAUUAUUAUUAUUAUUAUUAUUAUUUCACUUUCCAUGUGUCCGCCAUCAACGCUCCAAACCUAGGGUUUCGUUUUUUCCUUCACUUCUUUCUGCUGGUUCUUUCUUUCUAUCAUUUUUCCUUGCGUUAAGUUGCAUAUUUCAGCUAACCCUGAUCGCCCUUUCUUCAUUUUAAGGUACUAUUUUUGCUUUUGCUUUUUUAUUUUUCCAACUUUUUAGCUUGUGGUGAUAAGUUGUUCUAAUGGAUGAUUUUUACCCUUCUACUUCUUGUUUGAUUGACUGUAGUUUUACUGGGUUCUGUUAUUAUUAGUAUUAUUAUUAUUUUUUCUUAUGUUUAAGUUAGAUGAAUAUUUUAUGUUUCGAAGAAACUGAUUAUCUGGGUAAUUUUAUUGUUUUACACGGGAGUAAUAAUUUACUACCUAGCACCUAGUAGGCUAGUACCUACUAGCAUAGGCAUGUCAGAGAGUGAAUAAUUUCCAAAUGGUAUUUAAAUCAUGAAUUUCUUUCAAAUUUUUUGGUUUUAAUUUAUGUUCCUAUUAGCAGCUCAUGAUAACUUUCAUGGUCCCUAUCAGAAUUUCUUCCUAUGCAUUUGUUAUCUACUAGAAUUAUUUGCAUAAUAUUAAACUUCAGUUACAUCUUGCUGCAAAAUCAUUCAUUUAUCACUUUUGGUCAUUUUUUUAGGUGUGUUAAUUGCUGAAUUGGUACAGUGGAUAAAGGCAGUGUAGUAUUCAGACUUUCAGGUUGAUCUUGUAAUUAGCUUUCGGGCUGCAUUAGUGAGUUGGAGUUUGAACAAGUGCUCUUGUACAUAUAUCUUUAUGCGAGAUGCAAAGUUAAUUUGCCUAUGCUAUCAAAUCAACACCUCAGCAAAGUUGGUGGCUUGAAUGUUUCAUGGGUUAAUUGUUGAUAUGUUUUCCACAACUUUCAGUGCUAUUAAUGCCAUUUAGACCCUACUUAGUGCCUGACUUCGGCCGUGGAGAGCUUCAACUUCCACUGAAAUUCUUUGGAUAGUCUGCACAACACCUAUACUGUUGCUAUAUAGAAAAUAGCUAACACGGGUCAACUUUGUUGUGUGGCCGCUGGGCCACAUGGAGCAAAAUCACCUGCGAGUGGUAGGGAUAAUUCCACAGAUCGCGGUGAACCACGUUGGCAGACAAACUCUAGUUUUUCACCACCGCCAUUCAGGAUAUGGGAUUGUAGGUUGCAAUCAGAUGGCUUGCAACAUGGGUCUCGUGGAGCACCUUUACAUGGUUCAUCAUUAUCAUCCCAGAGUAGAGGAAGCAGAAGCAGGGUGAGCAGUGAACGUUUCACCAAUCAUCAUCAUUCCGUGUCUGAUGGAGUGCUUUCUUAUUCUGGUAGUCCAACUGAUAAUGUUCAUGAACCCCGUUGGACGUCACCGGCACAAAAAUUCAAUAUAGGCGAGCUUCCUGCCUCUAAUAUGAGAGGUAAUGCUAAGUCAAUUCUUUUUUUGUUCUUGGAUGCUUCAUUUGCAGGUUGAAUCAUGUACUAUUGAUAAUAGUUUUUAUGUCAGUGUAUAUAUUUAUUGGUUAAGCAGAUAUAUAUUUUUCUGAAAGGUUGACCUUUUACUGAUGCAAUGGACUGUCUAAGUGAUUUGUUCUAGUUAGUUCCUAAAAUGAAGUUAACUACUGACAACAUCAAAUGUCUUUCUUACAUUUGUUGUACCUUACAUUAGUUGCUUGAGAAGAAGUACCAGUAAUCAGACAUCUAUUUGUCAUGAAAUAAACACGUGUUUUUUAGUUGAAGGUAUAGGUACUUAUUUUGAUAAUUUCACAUUACAGUUCUUGGGAAGAUGUAAUUUUGUUAAUUUUCUUCCUUGCACCUUUCUCUUCUGCUGUCUAGGCUUUCAAUAGUCAUUGUCCUCAUCUUUUUGACAUUUCUUACACAACUUAAUUUUAUCAACUUGACCUUCUCUAUCUCAUGGUGCUUGGGGUGUUAAUAUGAAUUUUACAAAGAUUAGCUGGUAGUGGUAGUUUAUAAUUACCUUUGGUUUUCUGUUGUGUAUGCAAUUUGACCACCCAUCAGUUGAGUUGCUUUAUAAAGCUAAGCAUAUUCUAAUCAGGGCCUUUUUGCCUAAUUUCCUUGAGGUUUUGGGUUCGCGAGGGAACGUUGUUUUAUGAUAAAAAAGGUGUCUCAUGGCAUUGUUACUACAUGCUACUUAUCAAGUUGUAAUGAAGGUACACAGUGAAAGGUUGUUGUCUUCCUAGGCUUGGAUAGUUACUUUUCUUUCUAAGAUCUCUGCCAUCAUGGAACUCACUUAAGGAGGCUGCAUUUGUUAUAUAUUUUGUCUUAACGGUCAGUAUUUUUUGCUGGUUUUACAGUGGGAGUCUGUAGCUUUUUUUUUUUUCGCUAAGUUGAGAAGGAUGUGUUAGAGCAUUUAGGAACUGUAUAAUUGAUUUGAAUUCUUGCAACAGAAUUUGAAGUAUUCCAAAAACUCACAUUCUCCGCUGGUGUUUCAUGUGCAAACAACUUUCAGAAAAUUCAUCAUGUAUUUCCUGCAUUUUGGUGUUUCAUGUGUGCGAUCAUGGAUUGGCCAUUGAGCAUCCACUGAUCUUUUUCCCCCAUCAAUUGCUUUUACUUUGAUUAGGCUGUCAAAUUGUUUAGAUGUUGGUGUUGUCUAUAAAAUCUUAUAAUAAGAGCAAGAUAUUGGUGUGAAAAGCCACUGCAUUAUUCUUGCCGAGUUAAAGAAGGAAUGUAGCCAUAAGUUUGAAGAAAUUGUUCCUGUGUAAAUUGUACUACCAUUGCCUGGUUAUGCAAAAUAAGAGAUUGUCCUUAUUUGGAUUUUUUAGGUUUUUAUGAUUAUAAUUAUUUUUAUAACUUACACAGAGAACUGUCCCUGGCUUGGGGUUUCUCACCUCCCCUCCUCAGUAAGGCUUUAGUGUUGGUACAACAAUUUAAAGUUAAGUAUCUGUUACGCUUGCUGUAGACAGAAUCUGUUUCUGCGAAGCCUAGAAGAAAAAGGACACUGGAAAGAAGUUUAAAUUAAGUGUAGUAUACGAAUGCUGAUGUGAAAGAAUGCAGGCUUGUAUAAGAAUUGAUGACCAUGACAUCAGCAACUACAGACCAUAUAUUAGAAAUUUAGAAUGGAUGAUCAAGUGUAAUGAUAUGACAUUAGCAAGUAGAAGUUAAGUUGUUAUUAGCCUUUGAUGACAUAAGUAGUGACUGGACAGCAUGAUGUUUCAAGGACUGCUUUUUAAGAUGUAGAAUAAGAGAUCUGUUUCUCUCUGCCUUGUUACCUUGUAUGCAUAUGAACAUGCUUUUAUAACGGAAACUAGCAGCUUUUAUUUUCUUCAUGCUUUUAACAUUUUAAAACCUUUGAUCAUGUUUGUCUUUAUGGAGUGGCAUGCUUGUUAUAUUGACCCUUUUUGUUCUCUCACUAUCAGGAUCAAGGUCUCAGACUUCAUGGUUUCCUCAUUCCGCUGAGGUGAAUUCUGUUUCAACGUUAUGGUUUUGAAUGGCUUUGGAUUAAGAAAUAUUUAAUCUAACCAUUUCCCCGCUUUUCCUAUUAUUUGCAGAGGCGAUAUGGGGCUGGAGUGACUGCAGCAUCUCCCAGUUUUGGUUCCCCAUCUUCAUUUUCAGAGUCCAGUCCCUGGGAAUUGACUAGCAAACGGCCCUUUUCUUUACCAACUCGUAACUUUCCGAGCCGACGCUCUUAUGUGUCUAAAGCUGUUUACCCGCUAGUGUUUCACAAUCCUGUGUCAGACUGUGAAACCUUUGGUGAUGCUGAGACUAGUAGUGUUGGUAGGUUGACACCUGGUGAAGAUCAUAUCUCACCGUCUCACUGGCUUGAUAACAAUUCGAGUACUGUGCAGAAGUUCCACAGAACGCUUACUGAACUCCAAAGGUUGGAGACAUCACCAGACCCUGGUGCUAGCUCUAGAAGAGAAGGGUUUAGGUGGAGCAGUGCGAGCAGUUAUGAUUUUGGAUUUGAUGGAGAAAGAUUUGACAUAGCUGACCACAUUGAUUUAGAGAGCCUGAGGUCACCUGUCGGCCCUGUAGCUGGUCAAAAGUGUGGAGUUUGUGGUAAAUUGUUGUCUCAAAAGUCCCCCUGGAGUUCUCAUCGAAUUAUGAGAGGUGGAGACAUGCCGACUGCUGGGGUGUUACCUUGUAGGCAUGUGUUCCAUGCAGAAUGCUUGGAGCAAUUGACACCAAAGACCCAGAUUCAUGAGCCUCCUUGCCCCCUGUGCCUGAAGAUCGUAGGACCACUUGAAGAAUCUUCCUCGGUUUCGGAACCCUUGCAGAUGGUCCUAAGAUCUGUGCAGCGCAGCAAAGGGAUCAUGAUAUCUGAGGCUGAUGGAGAUCAUAGUAACACUGAAGCCUCAGAUCAUAUCAGGAACAAAUUGGGGAGAGGACCACGAUGGAGUGAUAGUGGUUCUUCCUUAAAGAACCGUCUUAAAAGGCAUUUCUCAUUUAAAGCAAGCAAAGACAUGUUCAGUACCAAGGUGUUCCACCGGAUGGGAUCUUCUUCUUCAAGCAGGCAACCAGUUCAACGCCAAUUGUCUAUUGGAUGAUUAUAUACAUACAUUUGUUCACUUGCAAAUAGAAUUGAAUAUUUGGAUGUGUGAAGCGCUUCCAUUUUGUAGAUUUUCUUAACUUGGUACUUUAGGAUCUCUUCUUGGAUCUUCUCUUUUUUGUCCUUUCAGAGACAGGUAAUGAAGACCAUUUUAUGUCUAAUUGCUUGUUUGUUUAAAACAUAACUUGAUCGAUAAUUUUGGUCACUUGUAAAGUCAGGCAGUCAGCCAUAUGUAUGAGUUCUUAACGCAGCAUGGGUCGAAGUUCUGCAAUUUGCAGAUUGUUUCUUUAUCCUCAUUGGUGCUGUGCCUAAGAUUUCAUGCUGUAUAUUCACUUCAUUUAUUUGAACCACCAAUAUGCUUGAUAGUUUUAAAAUAAAUGUAUCUGCAAUAUCGAAGCUCAGCUGUUUCUUCAUUCUGGGCCGUACGUUAAGAUGUAUAAGAAUUUUAUGCUUCAUGUUCGACGUCUCAGAUUGAAAAUUCCAUGUUUCAGGUCGUAAAAGUCCUAUAUCCUUAUCAAAACAAAUCCCAUCCCAAAAUCAAUAUUGGUUUAUUAGUAGCGAAAUGAUAUUAUAGAUUUGGUAUAAACUCAAUCCAAAUCUAGUGCCAGCCUAGACUCAAGAAAAUUAGCAAAGGUUUUUAGUGCACAUCUAUAUCAUCGCUGGCCAAUGUCUUCAGGCUGUCCCAUUUUGCAUCAUACAUUCACAUGGUUACCCAUUUUAAAGUGUUGGAAGAGCUAUGUAAUGUAUGCAAUAUGCGUUGCAUGCUGGCUUCAACUCUUAGUGGAUAAUAAUAUUACUGCAAAAUUCAACUGAAAAAUCCCAGUGGAAUGGGCUUUCCAUGAUUUUGACAAGUGGCACCCUGCAUGUAGAAUUCUUGCUAACUUCAUGUGGCUAAUAAUAGUUUUCUUGCAGAUUGACAAUCUUCUGCAAAUUAUGAGAAGCGUGUGUUUCAGAUAAAAUGUGGGACAAAUGUAUGCAUAAAGGUACCUCAAUUGGAUCCGUAGCCUUCGCUUUUCAUCUUAUUCUAUUGCUUGAACAAGUGGCCAUGUGAUUCCAUGUGCAGUUUGGUACAUAACCCUUCCCUAAUUAAAGUACAUAGCUUGACUUUACUCUCGUUAUCACUGUUCUUCAAGACCUUGAUAUUCUUUUUCUGGGAUUUUUUAUUCCUUGCCUACGACCAACUGAAAUUUUCAUGAUUUGGUAGUUAGUUCUUCAAAAAUUACGUAACUCCUUUUCAAAAAAAAGGUAAACGAAAAUCAAAUCUCCUUGUAAGCUAAGAGUGAUUGGAAUCCAUAACCUUCUGUAGCAUCGCAGGCAGUCUUACCAGUUUAACUAACUGCAGCCUUAUCACAAUUUUUAGGACUUGAUGAGUGAUAAGAAAGAACUAUUAAAUUCUGUAUUGUUUGUUCUCUUCGCCUAAUACAAUAACAUAUGAAAAUAGCUUGAUUAAAACUUUUUUCAACUUCUUGUGUUGAAAAUAACCUCUUCAUCAGGUAAUAUAACUUAAACAUAUCCGAAUAGAAUCUUCAUACUUAAUUCCAAUUCUUUAGACAAAAAAGCAGGCUGCCCAAUAGAUGGGCGGUAACAUGAAUUAGGUUAAAGGGCAUAGAUAAAUUUGUUUACAUGGAUCUACUAAAUGAAUACUUGUAUAGUUGUUUAUUUGCUGGUUUAUUUGGUUUUUCUGGCUGUUUUUGCCAACAUCACCUUUGUAAUCUUGUUUUGCAGGUCAUGUUGCUUUCACAAUUUCGGUUUGUCCUAUCCUACUAAAUUUUCUUUUGCAUUUUAUGAUAAAGGAAGCUGAACCCAAGGAAAAAAAAAAAAAAACUUUCCUGUUGAAUAAGACAAUAAGUGUCCAUCAAAACAGCAACUUUCAGCUUGAAAAUGAUUUGUAUAAGCUUACUUUAUUGGAAUUAUCAUAUGUCUGGAUACAGUCAUAACCGUUGGAAAUUUUCUCAAUGGGUAUCAAUACUAAAAUCCAAAACCUACGUAUGUGCACAAGGGAGUUGCCAUUUGCCAUAGGUGAUGAAAUGUGCCAAUGGUGACCAUUCACUCUGUUAUUUGGAAACUUUUUUUUAUUAUUUCAAGCAUGUCAUAUAGCCAAUUAAGCUGUGGACAGUAGACAUUUGUCGACACAGAAUCCAGUUUUAUCAUUGAAGUGUUGCCCUUUUGGACUUAAUAUUCGAUUAUUCAUAUAUGAUAAUAUCUAUAGUUUUAUACACAAGUUCAACUUUAGUGUUACUUCUUUCAUUGUUUAUUUUAGUUCUAUUAAGCUGUAAAGAUUGAGUACAUGUUCUGUAUAUGAUUCUGGAACAUGAAAAUAUAAAAGAUUGUUAACACGUAGCAGCAAAAAGCUGUGGUUAAAGAAAAAGAAUGCAAAAAAGGGAUGUAUAUCAUCAUUCUUCUUUCUAUAUGGACGGUUUGCCACAUGCUUGGCACUUUGAUUAGACCUUUUCUAGCCUGCAUUAGGGAGCCUAGCUUGAAGCCAUACAUUUUCUUCUGGUUUGUAAUUCUGGUAUUGAUAAAGCUAGAUGGUUUCUGAUAUAAGAAAUUGCUUUAAAAGAAUCAAUACUUGUAAGCUCUUCCCUCAUUACAUGUGCAUAGUUUGGCACAGAUCGCCUAGAAAUUUUAACUUGCUUACUCAAGUGAGUACUUAUUCCUUGAUGCCAACAUUGGAUGAAAGUUUUAUAUAUGGCUUUGUUCAUCAGUGCUGAUAAAAAAAUGUUCAAGGUCCAAUAUCCUUUAACCGACUUUAUUUUUAAAUGAAUGAGAUGUAGUUUUACUUUCGACUUUCCAUUGCAAGGACAUGGACUCAUAUAACAUUUUCUCUCUAUCCAUUUAGGAUUAAAGAUUCAAAGAAAUUUUGUCGGCUCAAUCUUUUCGCACGCUUUCUUUCCUUCUAACUUUUACUGUCAACCAAUCAUCUAUUUGUCUUAAAAUAGAUCUUGCAAGUACUUUGAAUCUGUUUUUCUAUCCUUCUUAACUUUUGCAACAUCAGCAUACAUCAUCACUUCAUCAGACAUACCCAUCCACCAGUAGCUACCUUCCUUCAGGAACAUCUAUAAAUACAAUAGCAUUUGAUGUCUCUUCCUUACCUUCUGUUUCUCAUUGGUUCUUCUUUCCAAGUUGCAUUAUUAUUCAAACUUAAGCCUUUGUAAGCACAAGCUAAUCAUUGCUCAUCUAUGCUGCAAUAUACUUUAUUUUUCUUUCAUUCCAUUUGAAAACCAAUAAAGUUUUAAUAGACUUUUACUUCACUUCUGCAGGAAAUGGACUUUCUUGGGAUCUUUCUAGUGGCCUCUUUGUCAAUGUUGAGAACAAUUCAUGGCUAUGCCGGUGGAUGGUCAAGUGCUCAUGCUACGUUCUAUGGCGGAGGCGAUGCUUCUGGCACAAUGGGUAAGAUGAGAAUCCUAACAUUCAAAAGAUACUCUUGAAAACUCUUAGCGAUAGUACUUAAAAACCUUUCAACUUUUCUUUCUUGGGCGCGCGUGCGUACGCGUGUGUGUUACAGGAGGAGCUUGUGGCUAUGGAAAUCUUUACAGCCAAGGUUAUGGCACAAGCACUGCCGCAUUGAGCACUGCCCUAUUCAACAACGGGGUGACUUGUGGAGCUUGCUUUGAGAUCAAAUGUGUAAAUGACAAUAGGUGGUGUCUUCCAGGAUCUAUCAUUGUCACAGCAACAAACUUCUGCCCCCCAAACCAUGCCCUUCCGAAUAAUGCAGGAGGCUGGUGUAACCCUCCUUUGCAGCAUUUUGAUCUUUCUCAGCCUAUUUUCCAACACAUAGCUCAUUACAAAGCUGGAAUCGUUCCUGUUCAGUACAGAAGGUAAAAUAACAUAUCAAUCUAGUCUCCAACUCUCACUUAGUUCUAUAACCUCAAGAACGUGCGGUUUAAUAUGUUGGUUCUCCUAACGUGUACCUUUAGAAUACGCGUUUGAAGACUCUUGAGGUGCAGAACCUCAGAAAAGAGAAGCAAUCCUACUGAAACGGCUACAUCUGAUGCAUUUAAAUGAAAUAAUGGCUGCAUGUGAUGCAUUUGAAUGAAAUUGCUAUCUUGGGUAUAUUGAUUUUUUUAUUUUUUUUUUGUGUUGAUGAAAGUUUUCUUGUUACCGUAGAAUUGCCUGCAGUAAGCGUGGUGGGAUCAGAUUCACAAUAAAUGGGCACUCAUACUUCAACCUUGUGCUCAUAACAAACGUUGGUGGUGCCGGGGAUGUUGUUUCUGUCUCCAUUAAAGGCUCAAGAACCGGCUGGCAACCAAUGUCUCGCAACUGGGGCCAAAAUUGGCAGAGCAAUUCUUACCUUAAUGGUCAAGCUCUCUCAUUCAAGGUCACAACAAGUGAUGGACGCUCUGUUAUCUCCAUCAAUGUGGCUCCUCCCAACUGGUCUUUUGGCCGAACUUACAAUGGGAGACAGUUUUAAACUCAGUUCCCAGAAACUGACUAAUAUCCGCCAUCAUAGGAAUAGAUUUUUCAGCUCUCAUUGUUAAAUUGCACACAUAACAUUAGCUCUUUAUCAGUAUAUGUAAAUUUGGUAUGUCGUGACAUUGGCGUCACCAAGGGGCAAGAGCUUUUAGUGAUGGCCCCGAAUACCAUGCCAGUUUGAUUUUCUUUGCUUUUUGUUUCUGAUGGAUUUCACUGCACGUUGUUGCCAACAAAGGGUUGGUAUAGGUAACAGAUAUGGUCUCUGCCAGGGCUUCUUAAGAUUUAGGGUCAUUCAGAAGGAAGAAGAAAUCGAGUUUCAAGCCAAUCCAUUUCAUUUUUAAGUUGUAGUGGAGAUGGUGCAUUGUAUUACGCUGUUUGGCUUUUUCUUUCUCACGCCAUUUGCAUAGGACAAGAAUCAUAAUGAAUAUUCUUGUAGUUUUCUACUCUGCCAUGGCAACUCAAUGAAUGAACAAGCAGAACAGAUCAUCUUAAUAGUUAUGUUUGCUGUCACAUGUGAAACUAAUUAGCAUUGAUGGUCUGAUGAUAUAAUAUAAGUAUCGGCAAAUCCACAUGUCGAUUUUCCUGGAGAAGAGGAAAUGAUUCCCAUCUACAUAAUUUUCAUUAAUUUGAUAAAAAGUAAAAACCAAAAAUUGUGGGAGGCAAGCAAUCUAAAUUUGACUAAAACUACACACCUAAAUUUCACUGCAUGAAUAUGAAAACAAUCCUCAAUGCAGACAUUCAAAUUUGGAGUAACAGAGUGGCGUAACUUGUUUGCAUGAAUAUGAAUACAAUCAUCAAUGCAGACAUUCAAAUUUAGAGUAACAGAGUAGUGUAACUAGUUUACAGAAAGGAAAUGUCUCAGGUUUCAAGCCCAGGCUGCUGCGAAUUACAUCAUGAACUACAGAAAGCACUAGAAAUGCCUAGAAUCAACACUUGAACUCGCAAUUGACUAAUGCAAUUAUCUUCUAUCACCUUUUUUGCUUCAAUAUCUUUUCCAUGGAAAUGCCUUCUCGUCAUACAUACAACAACAGCUAUUCUUAUAAAGCUUGUUUCUGUCAAAUUCUUCCCUCAGCUUUAACAUACAACCACAAAAAACAUAUUUGGAUAAGCAAAUACUCCGGUAUUGUCAAUGACAUAAGUGCUCAAGUCCGUAGCUCAUAGAAAUUACUAAAAUAGCCACUAGAGAUUACUAAAAGCAACCAUUGCCCGGCAAGAAUUUAGCUUUCUACAACAGAGAGUUAGCCUAUAUCACAAAACUUGACCACUGUGCCAAAACAUGAAAACUAGUCUCCCACUUCAACUUGUCUCACGCCUACAACAAGUCAUGUAUAUGUUUGGCAACCAUAAGCAUUCUUAUUUAAAUUUUGCUUUUCUGAAAUAGCAUAGCUAAUUUUUCAAAACAAGAACAGGGUGGUAUCUGUAUAAAAUUCUAAUACCUAUUAUGAGUUUCAUUAAUGACACCAAAAUCCUAUUAAAAUUUUUUUAAGAAAAAACAAAUUUGUGCCAGGCAACCAUCACACAGCCAUUUUUGCUUUCAGUAAUCUCAAGAAACUAUUGACUCAAUCACUAAAGUAUGCUAGCAACACCACUAGCUUAUGGUUGCAGGUCAAAACUCAUCUUCAAUUGGUCUCAAACAAAAAAAAAAAAAAAGAAUAUAUAUAUUAAAACAAAUAAACCACCGCUGUGAAAAAGCAACAGAAACAGAGUGCCGAGCAAAUCCCAUUGCAGAACUCCCCAUAUGCAUUAACUUCAGCAAUUUACAAAAAUACUAACUUCAGCAACUUACAAAACAUUUCAAAAAAAAGACUGAAAAACUAAUGACCUAAUUAAACAGAUUAUGAGCAUGCACUUAACCAACUCUCUAACUUUGAAGAAUUGACAAACCCUUUUAGAAGAAAAUAAUAAUAAUAAUAAAGUAAAAUCAAGAAACUUUUUGAUUUAAUGGUGAACCCGCGUGGCCGUCAUAGCCUAAACCAAGAUAUGGGUUAUUAGGGCUCCGACCGCGGGCAGUCCUCAUCGCAGAAAACCAAAAGGCUAAACCUUCUCUCAAUCCGACCGCAGGCAGCGUAGAGCCUCCGGCGAACCCAUAUGAAAAUGGCGGGUGGCUCUCGCGCGCUCCACCAUUGGUACGAAAAGAAAGAGGAGACUUUCAGAUCUCUGCUCAGAUAAGAUCAAGUAGGUGUGUCUCCGGUUAGGGUUCUUUCUUCGUUUUAUAUUGAACUGAAUUCCAUUUUUACCCUCAUCUUAAUCACAAUAUCACACAAAUAACCAUUAUAAAUAUAAACAUCUAGAAAUUGCACUUUUUAAGACUUGGGUAACUCUUGCUACAAAGCUUUUAGGGUUAUUUUUACAUACCUCCCCUGAGGUUUCACCUAAUUUUAGUUUAAUAGAAAGUAUUUCUGUAUUUUUACAUCCUUCCUCUGCUGUUAGUAUUUCUAUCAGUAUAAUAUCAGUAUAUAAGAUUACAAUUGUAAAAGCGCAUUUAAAAUUUAAAAAACUUAAAAAGUUAGCCGUAGUGGCAUUGGUAAGUGCGAAAUACCAUUGCAUCGGUCCAUUUCAUUACCCAAAAGAAAAAUCUCUUCACGAAAAUGUAAAUCUUACGAAAAUCUCAUCACUCACACAAACAUUCACCCCUCAGUAGCUUAAGUGUGAAAACAAGCGAGUGUUAUUGAGUUUGAGGAUCAAGAAUCAUCACCAUUUUGAACUUACCCAUGAAGAAGACAAGCUUCGAUGCUAAUAGAAGACUGCUGAGGAGCGAGUUUCCGCGGCUUUUCACGGCUCCAAUACUAGUCGAGGCUGCAUUUUUCCUCUCUCCCCAUGAGUCGAGAAGAUAUCGCGGCUUUUCACGGCUCCAAUACUAGUCGAGGCUGCGUUUUUCCUCUCUCCCCGCGAGCCGAGAAGAUGCUGAUAGAAGACUGCCGACGAGCGCAGUCCGUGGCCAAUCGAGGAGGCGUUUCCGCGGCUUCUCACGGCUUCGAUCGGUGGCUUUCCGGACGCUUUCUGACGGCAAAGACUUAUUCCAUGGCUUCUGCACUCCUAUUCUCCUGUGCAAUGGAGAAGAAAAUUUUUUUGACCCCAGAUCUCCAACUUCUAAGCACCGAGAAAUUUAUGUUUGAUUUCAAUAUUUUCGGCUUUUGAAUAUGCUUGCACUGUCAACUUUGCUGGGAAAUUGUACCUGUCAGCCUUUAAAGGGUAUUUUCGUCCUCUUGUUAGUCCACUAACAGUCAACUGACGGAAAUAUUAACUGUAGGGGAGGGGAGUAAAAAUACGGAGAUACUUUCUAUUAAACUGAAAUUAGGUGAAACCUCAGGGGAGGUAUGUAAAAAUAACCCAAGCUUUUAAAUGAAUAGAAGAGAUUAGCCGUAUUUAUGAAUAAACUAGUGAAUAAUUAAACUAAAAUGAAAAAGAAAUACAACAACAUACAGACGUGUUGCCUCAUUCAGAAAAAAGAAAAAAAGAAAAAAAAGAAGAGAGAUUGAGCAUAUAUUUCAAGCAUGUAGUAUAAUAAAUUAGUCUGUAGACCUUUGUCGACACACAGGACAUAAUUCAGUUUUAUCAUUGAAGUGUUGCUUUGGGAUUGAUUUUUCCCAUAUACCUUGUGUAUGAUAUAUAUGUAAUUUUAUACACGCUUUAGCGUUACUUCUUUCAUCAUUUAUUUUAGUUCUAUUAAGCUGCAAAGAGUAUAAGUACAUAUGCAGCAUAUGACUCUCGAACAUUAUCAAAUAAAAAGAUUGUUUAACACUUAACAGCAAAAGGCUGUGAUUUGAGAAAAAAGAAUGCACAAGAAGGGAUGUAUAUACCAUCAUUGUUCUUUCUAAAUGGACGACAAUUAUAAUUUCAAUUUACUUGUGUUCCAUAAAUUCUAAUAUAGAUCAACAAUGACAACAAUUAUAGUUUUCCAAAAAUUAGACGUAAAAAUUUACAAAGUCAUAUUUAGAACUUACAAAUCUCAAAUAAGAUUGAAUCUUGAGAAAUUUAGACAAGAAAAGACCGCAUCAUUUAGUCUCAAUAUCAGAUAUGGCAGAAUGUUUCGAAUGAAUGCGGUGUCAUUUAAACAACCAACCGCAUUGGUGGUAGGCUUAAACAGCUCCACUUCAAAAUCAAUAGAUAGUUUUGCCUGGAUAGUAAGAAAAUGAAUAAUUAUAACAUUUAUAAAUUUCUUAAUAUUUUAUUUGCCAUCAUUGAGAAAGUGAAAGGAAAUUCUAAACUUUACUUCUAUUUUAUCUUCGCAAUUCAUCAAAAACCUCAAAUGCGCUAAAAUUAGAUCAUAUUUCCAAUUUAAUGUAAACUCUAGAUAAACAAUCACAGCAAUUGUAAUUUCCAAAAAAAAUUAGAGGGAAACAAUUUAGAGAAUUAGAGAUUUAGAAUUACAAAUCUCGGAGAAAAUUGGCCCAAAUUGAGAUUCUUAGAGAGAACUUAUGAAAUCUUUGGGACUUAAUAUCAAAAUAUGGCAGGACUUUUUUGAAUGAAUGCAGUGUCAUUUUAAAAUCUCUUGAUUUUGCUUGGAUAAUAAGAAAAUGAAUAAACGUAACAUUUAUAAAUUUCCUAAUAUUUUAUUUUCCAUAAUUGAGAAUGUUAAAAGAAAUAAUCAAUUUUACUUCUAUUUAUCUUUCAUAAAAAUAAACAUGUUAAAAUAUUAAAUUGUGGAGUUCAAAAAAUGUUAAAAUGUGAUAUGUGGAUGAAAUCCCUUUUCACCAUUUUAGAAUCAAUAUUUUAUUGUUUUCAUAAAAAAAUAGUAUUAUUUAAAAAAUAAAAAUGAAAAUAAUUACUGUACCGAAUCUUGCGUCGAUAUAUCUUCUGCUUCAACAAACCUGAAAUGUUUUAAAAUUAUAUCAAUAUUUUUCAGUCCAAGAUGAAUCCUGCUCCUAGUCAUUAUUCAAGCAAAAUAAAGUUAAUUUUAACGAUAUAUGAGAAUAAUUACAUUUAAUUUCCUCCACUAUUUCAAUAUUUUUCGUGUGUGUUUCCUUUUUUGAGAUUGAAUACAUAAAAAAUUUAAAGAAGACAAAAAAAAUAUCUUUUUAUUUCGUUUUAUCACAUUUUAGUUAUAAACAUCCUUCAUACAAAAUUUUAUUAUCUUUCAUGAAAUUAACAUGUUAAAAUAUUAGAACAUGGAGUUCCAAAAGUAGUAAUAAUAAUAAUACAUUAUAUAUGAAAGAAUAUCACAAGCAAUUUAUGAUUCUUUUUCACCAUUUUAGUUUACAAUAAAUAUUUUUAUCGCUUUCUUAAAAUAUAGUUAGUACUUUUAGGUAAAAAAUCAAGAUGAAAAUAAUUACGAUGCUUAAUUUUGCCUCUAUCAAUUCAUAAAACCCUGACAUGUUUUAAAGUUAUAUCGAUAUUUUUAAUUCAUUGCUCCUAAACGUUUCUAGCAUACAUGCUGUAAUUAAUUUCUGAUUUGGACUAUUGGCACCCCUUCAUUAAUCUUAUAAAACUCAUGUUAUAUUAUAAUUACAUUUAAGGAUAAAUAUAAAUAGAAUUAAACCAUUUAUAUUUUUUUCCUCUUCAAUUUUAUUUUACUUGCACAAUAUAAAUAUAUUUUAUUAUCAUUAAAAUAAUCUGAAUUUAAGAAAUAAUCCUCUAAGCCAAAACAAAAUUUUUGUAAUAAACAUAACAACUUAAUUAAGAUACAAUACAAUGAAAAAAUAAUUAAAAUAAAAUUGUAUCCUACUGCAAAUAAUUUUUUAAGAAUUCUCAAACUAAUUGCUAACCAAAAAAAUUAUAGGUAGAAUAAAAUUGUAUUAGACCCAUAAAAUAUUUAUUAUUUUCUAAGUAUAAUGUUUUUCUUUAAAAAUUAUUUAAUAAAGAAAGUUUGAAGAGAGGAAUACAAAUAUUAAGACUGAAAGAGUGAGAAAAAUAUUAGAAACUAAAAAUUCAUAAAUUAAAAGAGCGUUCAAUUAUAAAACAACAAAUAUAUUUCAAUAGAAUUUUGGAGGGGUGCUAAUAGUCCGACUCUUAAUUUCUACAUCAACAAAACAACAAUUAUACUUUAAAAAAAAAAAUAGAUAACUUUUAAGUUAAUAUUAAAGGGGGAUAGUGGAGAGACUAAAAAUUGUAUAGAUGGACAUUCAUAUUAAAAAGAACUUUUCAUAACACUAAACAGUCUCUUCCGUAAGAAACAUCAAAUGGACAGCAUUUCCAUGCCACAAUUUUUUUUUUCCCUAAGGUCAUGUUUGGUUUAAAGAAAAGGAAGGAAAUGAAAAAAGUAUAAUGAAAAGAAAGGGAGAAGAAAAGAGUGGAAGAGAAUAGUGAAAUUAAAUUUCAUUAUUUGGUUUAACAUAAAAUUUGACAGGGAAAUGAAUUAUAAUUUUUUUUCUUUGGAUAAAUUUAUCCUUUGCCUUAAAUACUAAAUUACCUAUAUUAAUAAUGAAAUAUAAUUUAAUAUCAAUAUCAAACUUUUUUAAUGUCAAAAAGUGCCAAAACAAUUCACAAAGAAUUUGUGAUAAAGUUCCUUGAUGCUUGUGGUUUCUGCUGUACGGCCAAGGCGGAUGUACGGUACAGCAGAAUAAAAUUAUAAAUAAUAAUUAUUAAUGGCAUUAAAUAAGUUAAAAUGUUGAAGGGUAAUUUUAGAAACUUUAGUUUCCAACAUAAGAGGAAUUUGAAUUCACUCCUUGGUAUGGAAUUCAAAUUCUACAUUAUAAUGAUAUUAAAUUCUAACGGAAAUUAAAUUCUUAUAUAUUUUGUGCAACCAAAUAAUGAACAUAAAAAUAAAAUGUAAAUUACUUUACUCUCCUCAAUUCUCUCCUCCCAACCAAACAUCAUCUAAAUAUUUAGAUGAUAAGAUGCACUUAUAGGGAAAAAAAAUUGUUGAAAGAUGGUUGGUAAAAUAUUUGAAAGGAUAAUGGAUAAGGGUGUGCUACCGCAACCCCUUGGCAUUCUAUGAAGGAUUAGGAUCUUAUCCUGAUCUAAGUACUUUUGAUCUUUUACAGAUCUUGUACCAACUGUAUUUUUGUCAAGACCCAACCCAGACCUGGCAAGAUAUUGUCCGCUUUGGGCCUUAACAAGGCCCGCACGGAUUUGUUCUUGGGGCGCCCAUACACCCCAAAACGCGUCUCGCCAAUUAAGGUGUGGAUCACCCCUUAUAAACCCAGUAUCUCUCCCGUGCUUUGCUGAUGUAGGAUUCGCCUAGGGUGUUACAUACACCCCCCCUUGGGGACUCAGCGUCCUCGCUGAGGUUUGCCCCACCAUCGCUCAAGAGGACACGCAAAGCCGCUCUGAUACCAUAAUGUCAAGACCCAACCCAGACCUGGCAAGAUAUUGUCCGCUUUGGGCCUUAACAAGGCCCGCACGAAUUUGUUCUUGGGCCCAUACAUCCCAAAGCACGUCUCGCCAAUUAAGGUGUGGAUCACCCCUUAUAAACCCAGCAUCUCUCUCGUGCUUUGCCGAUGUAGGAUUCGCGCCCCAAGAUGCGUCUCGCCAAUUAAGGUGUGGAUCACCCCUUAUAAACCCAGCAUCUCUCCCGUGCUUUGCCGAUGUAGGAUUCGCCUAGGGUGUUACAAUUUUAGUGUUAGUGGAUGAUUAUGACUUAACUAUUUUUUUCUUUUUAAUUUAUUAAUUACGAAUCAUAUUAACAGAAUUUGUUCAGAUGAAGAUCAGAUCAAGAAAAGAUCAUGAUCCUUCUGUGAAACCCUUUUUAGGAAUUUAUAAUUUUAUCUAUGUGUAAAAUUACAUGAAAACCCCACACUUUCAUAUGGAGCAAACUUUUUAUAUACACAAAUUGCAUAUUUCAUAUUACGAACUUUUGGCACCCACAUAUUAAAUAUCCUAUAUUUUUCUCCAAUAUAGUUACUUUUGGCAAUUUGACCCGACCCUAUUUUUUGCCCGACUGACCCGACUUUAAUUUUUUUAGCUUUGACCUGAAUAUUCGGGUUUCGAGUCAGGCUCAGGCCAAAAUUUUAAGGUCGAAUCAAAAUUCGGGUAGGCACGCUUCACUCCAAUAAAUCACACUCAGAUACACUUACACAGUUACACAAAAUAACAAAUCACAAAUCACAAAUCACAAAAGCAAUCAGUGACAAAACCUUAAGUCAACUACUCAGCCGCCGUCCUGUCAGUCAACAUCGUCACCGUUUGCCUCACGCCAACCAGCUAAUGACCAUCCAAUCAGCCGCGAACUGUCUCCACUCUCCAUUUGUCUCACUCUCGCCUACAGUCUACUCCAUCUCCAAUCGCAAUCAGUCGCGCGAAGUCGCGACGUGAACCAGUCGCGCAUUGUUGCCAUCCUGCCGCGUCUGUUAGCCACACACACGUUCCGUCGGUAUUAGCUUUGGUAAUUUCAUAAAUAUUAGUUAAUUUUUCAUUUGAGCUUAUAAUUAAAUUUAUAAAUUUAGCUAAAUAUAUUUAUGAUAAUUAAUUAAUUAUGUAGUUACUGUAAAUAUCAUAUUGUAGCUAAAUAUAAGGUUAUAAAUAAGGUUUAUUUAAUUAUUAUGUUGUAAUUUUAAAUUAAGUUUAAUCAUAUUUUAAGUUUAUAAUUUCAUAAAUAUUAAUUAAUUUUUUCUCAUUUAAGCUUAUAAAUUAAUUUGUAAUUUUAGCUAAUUAUAUUCAUGAUGAUUAUGUAGUUGCUAUAAAUAUUAUAUUUUAGCUAAAUAUAGCCUUAUAUAAGGUUAUAAAUAUUAAUUAUUAUGUUGUAAUUGUAAAUUAAGUUUAAUCAUAUUUUGAGUUUAUAAGUUAACUUAAUUUUUAUAAGUUCAAUCAUAUUUUAAGCUUAUAAAUUAAUUUAAACUUGUUACACAUUUAAUUUAGGUCAUAAUGUCAAAUUCGGAUGCACUGAAAUCAAAUUCACGCAAGGAUUUUCUUAUUGGCGAAGAGAAUAUAAAUGAUGCCAUUCAAGAGGUUGAAGGGGUUCAAGAAGUUAAAGGAGUUGAAGAGACAUCAUGUAAUGAUGAUGGGGUACAACAAAGUAAUAAUAAAAAAAAAGCGAGGUGUGCGAGAACCUUCUUAUUUUUGGGGACACUUCACUAAGGUAACCAUUAAUGGUGAAUUGAAGGUGAAAUGUGAUCAUUGUUGAGCUAAGUUGGUAGCAUCUAGUAAUAAUGGAACCUCACAGUUGGAUAGACACUUGAAAAGAUUAAAAGGAAAGGGUGUUCCAUCAGUUUCUGAUACCCUGCAAAAAACUCAUAGCGUGACGAGGAAAGAUGAUGGAACAAGUUGUAUUGGGACGAGAGAAUUUGAUCUAAUUGUUGCUCGGCAAAAGAUAGCAACCUUAGUUGUAAAGCAUGAGCUACCACUAUAAUUUUGUGGAAUAUAAUGCAUUUAGGGAUUUGAUGUCUUAUUCCAACCCUUUGGUGAAGAAUUUGAGUAGGAACACUUUAAAGAGUAAGAUCCUUAAAUUGUAUCAAACUAAAAAGGCAAAAGCAAUAGCUUUGUUGGAGAAUAAUGAUAGUAGGGUGGCAAUUACUACAAACAUGUGGACUGCGAGUAAUCAAAAGAAAGAAUACAUGUUUGUUACGGGACAUUUUGUGGACAAAUCUUGGCAUUUACAAAGUCGAAUUUUAAAGUACUUUUCUUAUUAAUUGAUACUUUUUUUAAUUCAAUUUAAUUAAUUUUAAAAUUUAGUUUUUUGGUAAUGAAUAUGUUAAUAUAUUUGCAAAGUCGAUAUUAUGUCUAUUUAUUUUUAAUUCAAUUUAAUUAACUCUAAAAUUUAGUUUUUUGGUAAUGAAUAGAUUAAUAAUAUAUUUACAAAGUUGAUAUUAUGUUUAUUUAUUUUUAAUUCAAUUUAAUUAAUUUUGAAAUUUAGUUUUUUGGUGAUGAACAGGUUAAUAUAUUUGCAAAGUCGAUAUUAUGUUUACUUUUUUCUAUUUCAAUUUAAUUAAUUCUAAAAUUUAGUGGUAAUGAAUAGGUUCAUAUAUUUACCGGCUCCACAUACCGCUGAAUUUCUUUCUGAAGCAUUUUUUAAAUGUAUGUGGGAUUGGAAUGUGGAUAGAAGGAUAUCAGUUGUAACUUUAGAUAAUUGUUCCAUCAAUGAUGCUAUGGUUGAUAGGUUGAUGGGAUUGAUUCUAGUUGAUUCUAUGUUAAUGGGUGGAGAUUUUUUUAAUAUGAGGUGUGUGACUCAUAUUUUAAAUCUAAUUGUGAAGGAGGGGAUGAAAGUGAUUGAGGAGUGGAUUAAAAAAAUUAGGGAUAAUGUGGCUUAUUGGACAGGCACACCAAAGAGGGUAGAAACUUUUGAGAUGACUGCACGGCAAUUACAAGUUAAGUGUGAGAAAAAGUUGGUGCUUGAUUGUGUAAUUAGAUGGAAUUAGCAGCGCAACAAACACUACACCUCUUUGCCAACAGACGAGGAAUGAGAGACAGCUAAAAAGAUGUUGGAAUAUUUGCUACCAUUAUACUCGAUGACAUAGUUUUUUUUCAGGUACACAGUAUCCCACAUCUAAUCUUUUUUUUCCAAUGAUGUGUGAAAUGAGGAUUAAUAUGGAUGAAUGGGAACUUUCCGAUGUGCCUAUGGUUAGACAAAUAGCUGGUCAAAUGAUUAUGAACUUUGAUAAAUAUUGGGUCCAAAUUCAUGGGAUUUUGGUGAUGGCAGUUAUUCUUGAUCCGAGGUUUAAGAUGCAAUUGGCUAAUUAUUAUUUUCCAUAACUUUAUGGUGAGGGUGCUACAAAUGAUAUUCAAAGGGUACGUAAUUUAAGUAACGAUUUGGUUAAGUUUUAUAAAAGUAAGAAUGGGAAUGUGAGUGAUGCAGUUGUUGGUGAAUCUUCUUCAGUCGAUGUUUGCUUUAAUUUUAAUGUAGGAGCUGGCUGUAAAUUUUUUGAUAUAAGUAAGUUUGAGGCAUUUGCAGGCCAAAAUAGUGAGACCAUGGUAUUGAAGUUUGAUCUUGAAAGGUACUUAGAAGAACCUUUAGUCAAAUCCACUCUGGGCUUUGAUAUUAUGAAUUGUUGGAAGGCGAAACAAGGCAAAUACCAUAUCUUGGCUUAAAUGGCCAAGGAUAUCUUAGCCAUUCACGUGACAACCGUUGCCUUUGAAUCUACAUUUAGCACUGGAGGUAGAGUCUUGACUCCACAUCAGAGCAGACUUCAUCCUACGACAUUGGAAGUGCUUAUGUGCACUUAGCAUUGGCUAUGGGCGAACUCCAAAGGUAUAAAUACAAAUAAUGUACAAAAUAUGUAUCUAAUUGGUUUAAUAAUAAUUUCAAAAACUUAAAUUAAUUUUUCACUUUUUUUUAUAGGUAAAAUUCUCAAAAGUGAAAUUUUUACUGGAGAGGAAUUUGUGGAUGAAGAUGAAAGUGGCCCACAAGUAUUGGAGUAGUUUUUUUUUUUUCUUUUUUUAAUGUUUGAUUGUUGAAUUGAAUUGUGUGUGGUUGAAAUGGUUGAAUUGAAUUGUUGUGUUUUUAUUUGUAUAAGACAUGAGUUUUUUUUUUUAAUGUUAGGUUGUUGAAUUGAAUUGUGUAUGGUUGAAAUGAUUGUGGAAUUACAUUGUGUGUUUUUAAUUUAAUUGCAUUGUGUGUUUUUAUUGUUGGAUUUUAUAAUUGAAUUGUGUGCGGGGUUGAAAUGGUUGUGAAAUUGAAUUGUGUUUUUUAAUUUAAUCAUGUUGAGUUUUUUUAAUGUUGGAUUGUGGAAUAGAAUUGUAAAAAAUUAGUCUUAUUAAUUGGUUGUUUUGUGAAUUAUUUUGUGGUUAAUUGUAUUGUGUAUUUUUCCUUUGUGUUGUUAAUUAUUUUAAAUUAAAAAAAAAAAUCAUUUCUUUUGUUUCAUAUUCAUGGUAUUGUAACUAGAGAGAGAACAAAAAUGAAAAAGUAACAUGAAUGAAUUUGGGACGUGAUUAUAAAAUUACAAGAUAUUGACAAAUUUGAGCUCAAAUUAUUGAAUUAUGCAAAAAAUAUUUAGUAGGGUCAGGUUGGGCCCGACCCGAGAGUGACAUGAUUUGGGUCGGAUCGGAAACCACAAAUGGUCGGGUUCAUUUAGGGUCGAGCUUUAAAUUUUUUUGAUCGGGUCGGGCUUGGGCUUGACUCGAUUGCCAUUCCUAAAUAUAAUUGGAAGUACAGGAAGAAGCGUGUAGUAAGAAUUUCUUAUCACAUAUGAGUUCGCAAAUUUUUUUAUGAUUUCCUUUUGUGUUCGUAAUUUAUUAUUACGUUUGUGAAGAAUGAUUACCCAUUGUUUUCUUACUCCUUCAAUUCUCAUAGUCAUAGGCAUCUUAUUGUUGUGCCUUCUACCUCCUGAAAUCACAUAUUUAUUAUUUUCUUUAAUAUUCAUCUUCGCUAUCUUUCCUUUUUUAAAUUACCAAGGUUAUUUAUAGAAUUAGACAGUGUCAUUACAAAAAGAAUGUAUUCAUUUUAACACACACACACACACACACACACACACACACACACAUAUAUAUAUAAGGGUGUUGAGAGAAUUUUUGCGGGGUGCCAAUAGUGACGCUAUGGAUACUCAUCUUCACAUUUGACCACGUCACUUUCGGAGCCAUACUUUCUACAUUCCUUUAAUAUUAGAUGAAGAUUCAGUGCUGAGCUGAGUUUUUGUUAAGUACUAAAUCAAUAGUUGUUAGGUAAGAGAAAUAAAAAAAAUAAAAAUUCAAAAUAAAUCUUGAUCAUUGUUUCAAUACUCAGUAAAAAAAAAAUUCAACACUGAAUCCUAAUUCUUUAAUAUUUUUAUAAUCCAUUUUUGUAAUCAUAGUUCUACUGUACUAAAAAUUAUAUAAAAGUAUAAAUAUGAAUUAAAUUAAAUUAAAUUAAAUUAAAUUAAAAUAUCUUGGCAAAUCAUGAACCCCUAACUUUUUUUUCUAAUCCUAAUAUAUGAUAUAAUUAAUUUUAUUGAUAAAAUCAAAAUAAUUUGGAGACAAUGAAGAUAUAAGUUACCUAAUAAUUAUUUUUUUAUGAAAAAGUUUGUCUACAAUUUUAAUUAAUUAAUUCUAAAUAAUAAUAUAAUUUAAUUCAAAUUCUUUUGUAAUUUUAUGUUUUUUUUUUUUUUGUAAUUUGAUAAAAGAAAGAGAUAUAAAUACAAAAAAAGGAGUUUCAAAGAGUUUUGACGGUGUAUUAGAAGCUCCACUGUAAUUUUUGGGAGGCUUAUUGAGGACCCAGGAAACAAGUAGGUGAACUGGCUCAUCUAAGUUAUGGAUGAUGCUUAAUGGGGAGAAGCUACCAAAACCUCUCAAUUUUGUUUAAAGAGGCCCAAAUUUAUCACCACACAGUAGUCAAUUAGCAUGAUUUAAAAAAAGAAAAACGUGGGCAAACCAGAAGAUAUUUUUUUUUUCAAACAAAUCAGAAGAGAUUUUUUUUUUUUUAAAUAAAAUCUGUAAUUUAAUCUUUAUCUUGAAGCUUGGUAGAUUCCUGCGUGUUUCCUAAGGAAUCGAGACAACAUAUAGAAUAUAAUGUGCUAUAUUAAUUUAAAAUUUUGUUACUAAAACUUUUAUUAAGUCAUUCAUCUUAUGCAAUCUAAUAGUAAAUACUAUAAUUCGAAUUAGUAUUUAACGAUUUAAUGAUGUUAAAUUAAUAUAGUCUAAUUGCUUAAAAUCAUGUUCAUAAUUCAAGUAGCUUUACUAUCUUAUGUAGACACAUUUUUUUCUCAUUUUUUUUCUCAUUUUGGAUUUAAUCAUUUUAUAGUCGACAAUCUUAGGGGAUUAAUGUGAAAUAUUUCAUAAAUAAACAAGAGGUGUUGAGUUUUCUUAAAAAAAAAGAAACAAAACGGUAUCUCAUAAAUAAAUUAAUCAAAUAUUAAUGGAGAUGUCUCAAAACGGUAUCUUUAGUGCACCAUCAUCCUCUUUGAUCUUCAGAAGAUCAAAAUUCAACCAGUUGUUUAUUGUAAAGAAAGCUUCCUGUCACUGCUUUCGAUGUGUAUUUGCUAAAAUGUAAUAUGUAUUGUAUUUGGUUUGGUUUAAAGAAAUUCUGCUUAUUUCAAUCAAUAGCUACAAUUAUCUACUUUCAUAAUGUGCCUAUGAUGUAGCACCGGGUGGACUGUUAGUCACUGUGUAUCAUCUUUACGCGAAUAGAGUAUGGUGUAGGUCAAACAGAAGAGGUAUGCAUAAAAGUAUUUGCUCCAACAAGUAAUCUUAAAAUUCCAUCGGUUUUCUGGUGCGUUAUUCAUGGUGUGUUAUUUCUGGAUAGUCUGCAUUUAGGUUUAUGUAGGAAUGACCGAAUUAACGGCCAAAUUUAGAAUGCCAAAAAUAAAAUCCCAACUACGACAAAUACAUCAAGCUUAGGAGGUGCAAAAUAAAAACCUCACAAUAAUUCUUGCAUUCAGACGCCUUUGAGAAGUGCAUGAGUUAUGUUAUUUCAAAAGGUAAUGAUGUUUAGACCGGAAAAUUUGACCGAACAAACGCAAUGGUACGCAGGGCUGGAGUUACUAUCCGCACUCUAUGACCCUUUCGUUUCUUUGCUAUUUUAUAAUUUCUUUUCUUUGGUAUUUUACUAUCAACGUUCAUGUGUAAUAUUUCAUAAAUAAACUAGAGGUGUUGAGUUUUCUUCAAAAUAAAACAAAUUCCCACCAACCAAUGACCCUUACACUCUUAAAAGAAAAACAAACAAAAUACCCUAUUUUUAAAAUAUCCAACAAGUUGACAUUGAUUAGAUUUAGUUAUAAUCAAGUAAAAACGAUUGGUAAUAAAGCCACUCAAGCAAAAAAGUCUUCAUCAAUUAUGGAGCUAGCGGAUACCAUUCUAUUCCCCAUCUUGUUUCUUUAAACUUCAUUAUUUGGUUUAUUUAUCUUCUACAAAUAAAAACACAACAUCACAGCCCAUAUCCUAAAUCCAUAAAAGGUACCCCAAAAAAAAAAAUGCUUAAUUUAUUUGUCUCUCUUUGUUCAUAUAUAUUGUUUGCAAAUUGUAGUAAUUUAAUAUCAGCAUAAAUAUUGUGUAAACUAUGAUCAUAUGUUUAAGUUUCUUUUGCUUAAAAAUCUUUGUUGAAAUGAAUGUAUGCGUCAUGAUGACAUUGUUUAGAUGUUAGUUUUGUAUGAUCAUUGCAGUCAACUUCAUUAAACUUUCUUACUUUAGAGUUGGAUCGUUUCCUUUUGAGUCUGCAUGUUUCUUGUUUUGUGUUCGAAUAUUGACUAGAUUGUCUCGUAGAUAAGAGAGAUGGGAGAUGCAACGGUGGGUAGUUACUGGUGCUACAUUUGUUCUCGAAUGGUGAAUCCUCGAAUGGAAGCUGGGAUCAAAUGUCCAUUUUGUGAGACUGGAUUUGUGGAACAAAUGAGCAGCAGCAUUACUGACGACUCCAUCAACAAUGGAAUUCAUGUAGGAUCAGACCGUGCACUCUCUCUAUGGGCUCCAAUUUUACUUCGUAUGAUGACUGGUUUAGCC
rnacentral:lncRNA from 1 species